rnacentral:rRNA from 1 species
UGCCAGACUCCUACGGGAGGCAGCAGUGGGGAAUAUUGCACAAUGGGGGAAACCCUGAUGCAGCAACGCCGCGUGAGUGAAGAAGUAUUUCGGUAUGUAAAGCUCUAUCAGCAGGGAAGAAAAUGACGGUACCUGAGUAAGAAGCCCCGGCUAACUACGUGCCAGCAGCCGCGGUAAUACGUAGGGGGCAAGCGUUAUCCGGAUUUACUGGGUGUAAAGGGAGCGUAGACGGCGAUACAAGUCUGAAGUGAAAGCCCGGGGCUCAACCCCGGGACUGCUUUGGAAACUGUGUUGCUGGAGUGCUGGAGAGGCAAGCGGAAUUUCUAGUGUAGCGGUGAAAUGCGUAGAUAUUAGGAAGAACGCCAGUGGCGAAGGCGGCUUGCUGGACAGUAACUGACGUUGAGGCUCGAAAGCGUGGGGAGCAAACAGGAUUAGAUACCCGCGUAA